UCCGGAGUAGCUCAAUGGUAGAGCAUUCGACUGUUAAUCGAAGGGUUGUCGGUUCAAAUCCGACCUCCGGAGCCA
rnacentral:tRNA from 1 species